AUUGAACGCUGGCGGCAGGCCUAACACAUGCAAGUCGAGCGGAUGAAGGGAGCUUGCUCCUGGAUUCAGCGGCGGACGGGUGAGUAAUGCCUAGGAAUCUGCCUGGUAGUGGGGGAUAACGUCCGGAAACGGGCGCUAAUACCGCAUACGUCCUGAGGGAGAAGGUGGGGGAUCUUCGGACCUCACGCUAUCAGAUGAGCCUAGGUCGGAUUAGCUAGUUGGUGGGGUAAAGGCCUACCAAGGCGACGAUCCGUAACUGGUCUGAGAGGAUGAUCAGUCACACUGGAACUGAGACACGGUCCAGACUCCUACGGGAGGCAGCAGUGGGGAAUAUUGGACAAUGGGCGAAAGCCUGAUCCAGCCAUGCCGCGUGUGUGAAGAAGGUCUUCGGAUUGUAAAGCACUUUAAGUUGGGAGGAAGGGCAGUAAGUUAAUACCUUGCUGUUUGGACGUUACCAACAGAAUAGCACCGGCUAACUUCGUG
rnacentral:rRNA from 1 species